UUAAUUGAAACCAAAAUAGAGGUAUAUCACUGUUAAUGAUACCAAUGAGUUAAUCUCCAAUUAAA
rnacentral:tRNA from 1 species